rnacentral:rRNA from 1 species
AUUGAACGCUGGCGGAAUGCUUUACACAUGCAAGUCGAGCGGCAGCACGGGGGCAACCCUGGUGGCGAGCGGCGAACGGGUGAGUAAUACAUCGGAACAUGCCCAGUCGUGGGGGAUAACACUUCGAAAGAAGUGCUAAUACCGCAUACGUCCUGAGGGGGAAAGCGGGGGAUCGCAAGACCUCGCGCGAUUGGAGUGGCCGAUGUCAGAUUAGCUAGUUGGUGGGGUAAAGGCCUACCAAGGCAACGAUCUGUAGCUGGUCUGAGAGGAUGAUCAGCCACACUGGGACUGAGACACGGCCCAGACUCCUACGGGAGGCAGCAGUGGGGAAUUUUGGACAAUGGGGGCAACCCUGAUCCAGCCAUUCCGCGUGAGUGAAGAAGGCCUUCGGGUUGUAAAGCUCUGUCGGCAGGAACGAAACGGUGAGCUCUAACAUAGCUUGCUAAUGACGGUACCUGAAGAAGAAGCACCGGCUAACUACGUG